AGCGUACAAGGUGGAUGCCUUGGCAAUCAGAGGCGAAGAAGGACGUGCUAAUCUGCGAAAAGCUUGGAUGAGUCGAUAAGAGGCGUUUAAUCCAAGAUGUCCGAAUGGGGAAACCCAGUGGGUGAAGAACCCACUAUCAUUAUCUGAAUUCAUAGGAUAAUGAGGCGAACCGGGAGAACUGAAACAUCUAAGUACCCCGAGGAAAAGAAAUCAACCGAGAUUUUGUGAGUAGCGGCGAGCGAAAGCGAAGGAGCCUGUUAGUGAUAGCGGAAGUGUUAGAGGAAUUGGCUGGGAAGCCAAAUCGUAGAGGGUGAUAAUCCCGUACUCGAAAAUACUUUUGUGGUACUGAGUUAACGAUAAGUAGGGCGGGACACGUGAUAUCCUGUUUGAAGAUGGGGGGACCAUCCUCCAAGGCUAAAUACUCCUGAUUGACCGAUAGUGAACCAGUACUGUGAAGGAAAGGCGAAAAGAACCCCGGUGAGGGGAGUGAAAUAGAACCUGAAACCUUGUACGUACAAGCAGUGGGAGCCCGAAAGGGUGACUGCGUACCUUUUGUAUAAUGGGUCAGCGACUUAUAUUUUGUAGCGAGGUUAACCGAAUAGGGGAGCCGAAGGGAAACCGAGUCUUAACUGGGCGAAUAGUUGCAAGGUAUAGACCCGAAACCCGGUGAUCUAGCCAUGGGCAGGUUGAAGGUUGGGUAACACUAACUGGAGGACCGAACCGACUAAUGUUGAAAAAUUAGCGGAUGACUUGUGGCUGGGGGUGAAAGGCCAAUCAAACCGGGAGAUAGCUGGUUCUCCCCGAAAUCUAUUUAGGUAGAGCCUUGAGCGGACACCUUUGGGGGUAGAGCACUGUUUCGGCUAGGGGUCCAUCCCGGAUUACCAACCCGAUGCAAACUACGAAUACCAAAGAGUGAUACUCAGGAGACACACGGCGGGUGCUAACGUCCGUCGUGGAGAGGGAAACAACCCAGACCGCCAGCUAAGGUCCCAAAGUCUAUAUUAAGUGGGAAACGAAGUGGGAAGGCUUAGACAGCUAGGAUGUUGGCUUAGAAGCAGCCAUCAUUUAAAGAAAGCGUAAUAGCUCACUAGUCGAGUCGGCCUGCGCGGAAGAUGUAACGGGGCUCAAAUAUAGCACCGAAGCUGCGGCAUCAGACGUAAGUCUGUUGGGUAGGGGAGCGUUGUGUAAGCGGAUGAAGAUGGUUCGAGAGGACUGUUGGACGUAUCACAAGUGCGAAUGCUGACAUAAGUAACGAUAAAACGGGUGAAAAACCCGUUCGCCGGAAGACCAAGGGUUCCUGUCCAACGUUAAUCGGGGCAGGGUGAGUCGGCCCCUAAGGCGAGGCUGAAAAGCGUAGUCGAUGGGAAACGGGUUAAUAUUCCCGUACUUGGUAAAGCUGCGAUGUGGGGACGGAGCAGGUUAGGUUAGCGUGCUGUUGGAUAUGCACGUUUAAGUUGGUAGGUGGGGAGUUUAGGCAAAUCCGGACUUCCUUAACACUGAGAGAUGAUGACGAGGCUCUACGGAGCUGAAGUAACUGAUACCACACUUCCAGGAAAAGCCACUAAGCGAAAGGCUUUACUAAACCGUACUGAAAACCGACACAGGUGGUCAGGUAGAGAAUACUCAGGCGCUUGAGAGAACUCGGGUGAAGGAACUAGGCAAAAUAGCACCGUAACUUCGGGAGAAGGUGCGCCGGCGUAGAUUGUAGUCCCUAGCGGGCGAAGGUUGAACCGGUCGAAGAUACCAGCUGGCUGCAACUGUUUAUUAAAAACACAGCACUCUGCAAACACGAAAGUGGACGUAUAGGGUGUGAUGCCUGCCCGGUGCUGGAAGGUUAAUUGAUGGUGUAAUCGAAAGAGAAGCUCCUGAUCGAAGCCCCAGUAAACGGCGGCCGUAACUAUAACGGUCCUAAGGUAGCGAAAUUCCUUGUCGGGUAAGUUCCGACCUGCACGAAUGGCAUAAUGAUGGCCAGGCUGUCUCCACCCGAGACUCAGUGAAAUUGAAAUCGCCGUGAAGAUGCGGUGUACCCGCGGCUAGACGGAAAGACCCCGUGAACCUUUACUAUAGCUUGACACUGAACAUUGAAUUUUGAUGUGUAGGAUAGGUGGGAGACUUUGAAGUAGUCACGCCAGUGAUUAUGGAGUCGUCCUUGAAAUACCACCCUUUAACGUUUGAUGUUCUAACGAAGAUUACGAAACGUGGUCUCGGACAGUGUCUGGUGGGUAGUUUGACUGGGGCGGUCUCCUCCCAAAGAGUAACGGAGGAGCACGAA
rnacentral:rRNA from 1 species